rnacentral:misc_RNA from 1 species
AACCUAGCACACCUGCGGUGUGUACCUGCGGAAGGAUCAUUACCUAGAGUUGUAGGCUUUGCCUGCUAUCUCUUACCCAUGUCUUUUGAGUACCUUACGUUUCCUCGGUGGGUUCGCCCACCGAUUGGACAAACUUAAACCCUUUGCAGUUGAAAUCAGCGUCUGAAAAACCUUAAUAGUUACAACUUUCAACAACGGAUCU